GACCAGUCACACAACAGUAACUAAGACAAACACAACCACCAGCGUGGCAGAUGCUAAUGGACAGAGAAUACCUGAGGAGAACAACUCCAUACAGAUGACUCUGACAGGAGGAACAACCACUUCAACUUCUCAAAACGACAAUCACAAGACCAGUGUAGGACAAGUUACAGAAGGGUCUUCAUGUAGCUGGAGUACAGAUUUAACCACUGAAAGGCAGGAGACCAGUCACACAACAGUGACUGAGACAAACACAACCACCAGCGUGGCAGAUGCUAAUGGACGU